rnacentral:rRNA from 1 species
UACGUAGGGUGCGAGCGUUGUCCGGAAUUAUUGGGCGUAAAGGGCUCGUAGGCGGUUUGUCGCGUCGGGAGUGAAAACCAGGUGCUUAACACCUGGCUUGCUUUCGAUACGGGCAGACUAGAGUGCGGUAGGGGAGACUGGAAUUCCUGGUGUAGCGGUGGAAUGCGCAGAUAUCAGGAGGAACACCGGUGGCGAAGGCGCAUCCUGGACCGGCAUUGACGCUGAGGCGCGAAAGCCAGGGGAGCAAACGGGG